rnacentral:rRNA from 1 species
GACGAACCACACAAACGUUAUUCGGAAUUACUGGGCUUAAAGGGUGCGUAGGCGGCGCAGAAAGUAGGGUGUGAAAUCCCUCGGCUCAACCGAGGAACUGCGCCCUAAACUACUGUGCUCGAGGGAGGUAGAGGUGAGCGGAACUUAGGGUGGAGCGGUGAAAUGCGUUGAUAUCCUAAGGAACACCGGUGGCGAAAGCGGCUCACUGGACCCCUUCUGACGCUGAGGCACGAAAGCGGGGGUAGCGAACGGG